rnacentral:rRNA from 1 species
UACGAAGGGGGCUAGCGUUGCUCGGAAUCACUGGGCUUAAAGCGCCCGUAGGCGGAUUGCUAAGUCAGGGGUGAAAUCCUGGAGCUCAACUCCAGAACUGCCUUUGAUACUGGCGAUCUCGAGUCCGGGAGAGGUGAGUGGAACUGCGAGUGUAGAGGUGAAAUUCGUAGAUAUUCGCAAGAACACCAGUGGCGAAGGCGGCUCACUGGCCCGGUACUGACGCUGAGGUGCGAAAGCGUGGGGAGCAAACAGG